rnacentral:rRNA from 1 species
UACGUAGGGUGCAAGCGUUAAUCGGAAUUACUGGGCGUAAAGCGUGCGCAGGCGGUGAUGUAAGACAGUUGUGAAAUCCCCGGGCUCAACCUGGGAACUGCAUCUGUGACUGCAUUGCUGGAGUGCGGCAGAGGGGGAUGGAAUUCCGCGUGUAGCAGUGAAAUGCGUAGAUAUGCGGAGGAACACUGAUGGCGAAGGCAAUCCCCUGGGCCUGCACUGACGCUCAUGCACGAAAGCGUGGGGAGCAAACAGG